AACGAACGCUGGCGGCGUGGAUAAGACAUGCAAGUCGAACGGGCCCGAAGUCCCGUAGGAGUUCGGGUUAGUGCGAACGGGUGCGUAACACGUGGGCAAUCUGCCGAGAAGUGGGGAGUAGCUCGCCGAAAGGCGAAUUAAUACCGCAUGUGAUUAGCUAAGACAUCUUAGCGACAUCAAAGGUGGCGCAAGCUACCGCUUUUUGAGGAG
rnacentral:rRNA from 1 species